GUGUCCUGGCACCGCACUGGGCAAUCGUUUUGAACCCGGGGGUUGGCGCCUAGCCGCUCCCGAGACCAUAAAUCCUCUAAGGAUUUAUUUUGUUGAUUUGUCACUUGCUGCAGGGUAAGCCUUCGUGCUGGCACCAUCAGACACUUGAAUGACCACGAAAUUAAGGAGAUGGAAACGUGCCAGUGUCAACACUAGACCCAACACCACCCCAGACGCGAAAACAUGCCAGGUUUAAAGGUGUUCUUGAGACCUGGAAGGUUUUGAGACAUAACCGGACACAUUGACCAAUCAGGCUUUGCCUUGGGCAGAGCAGACGUCCUUAUCCACAGUGUCCAGCGGGACUCCCUUGGUGCAGAGAGCACUGAAACCUAGCCCUUUAAGAUGUUACCACUCCUGCUGCUUCACGUCCCCCUCCCUCUCCCUUUCUGAGCCAGGUCAAGGUGUGUGAGGUCAGCCAAGCACCAGGAACAGCUCUGCUGGUCUGGUCCUGGGGUUUUAUUUUUAUCUGUCUCCCCCCUCCUCCUUUCCCAACAAGUCCAUGUUUUGAUGUCUAUGCGGAGGCUAUACUUAGAGGAGGAUUGUUACUUUUAUGACCUAGUACAUUGAACUGUUUUCAAAUUUUCAAACAUACCUUUUUAACAUCUAGUUUAUUUUAAACUCAUGAGCAAACAUUUGGGGGGUGGGGGGUCCUGAAGUGACCUGUGUGGCAUGAAACAAAUUGUGUGGCUUCUAAUUAGAGAAGGGGCUGUGCAACCCUGUGAGACCGGAUCCAAGUUAAAAUUGGAUCUGUAGACCCUUUUGUAUUCCUCUUGCUGAAACUGCUUCCCCCUAUUUCUUUCACCCCUUGGUUGAACCCUAGCAUCAAAUUCUCUAUGAUAUGGACCACCACCUUGAAAGCAAAGAACACGAAUAAGUGCCAUGAUAGCACUGUAAGGAGAGAAGAAGAAAAUCAAAUCCGAUGAGGGUCAGUAAACCUGUCGGCUCGACCUUCAAAAUACCUUAUCUGGAAUCCAACCUCCAUCUACCACGUCUACUGCCAUGACCCUGGUCAGCAUCAAGUUGUGCCUAUAUUUUGCAAUAACCACCCACCUGAGCUUCCUCUUUGGGCGCUUGCCUCCAGCAGUAUACUUUGAGUCUUUUCAAUCCAGCUCAAGUCACUCCUCUGCUUAAAAAAUAAUAAUAAAAAUAAAAAUAAUCCACUAGCUCCCCAUCUCAUUUAAGCUAAAAGCCAGAGUCCUUACUAUGGCCUAAAUACCUAUGGAUCCGGUUCCAACCCCCCUUCUCUCUCUGACCAUCUCCUACUACUGUAUCCCUUCCUCGUUUUUUCCAGCCCCGUUGGCCUCCAUGCUGUUUCUGAAACACAAUGAGCAAGCUCCAGUCUCAUGGCCUUUCCCUUUGCUGGUCCUCUGCCACCGGAAUGAGCCCCACACUCCCCCCUACCCACCAAAAACAGAACAAAACCUAGGAUGUUGUUUCCUCACCUCCUUCACGUCUUUAUUCAAGUGUCAUUUUCCCUGUCACAUCUAUGCCUUAGUUCUCUCCCUUCCUUGCCACCAUCUUAACAUAUUGUAUCAUUUUAGCUAUUUGUUUUAUUUAUUGUUUGUCUUCCUCCACUAUAAUGUAUGCUGCGGAAGUCAAUGGUUUUUGUUCCUUUUGUUCACUGCUAUUUCCAAAGACACAGUGUAAAUGAAUGAAUACCUGUGGUAUUACAUUGUGUGUAUGAGAUUGUUACAUAUAGUAUCUCACUUGUGUCCCUGGCAGUGGGGGGCAGGGCUGGGAGAGAAAACCUCUCUGAGCCUGUUUUCUGUUCUAUAAAAAAUGCACAAGAA